UUCAUCAUCAUUUUGAUCUCUUAACAUCGAUGUGUGGGGAUUGAUCAAUUAGACAUUCGUCGAAAACUCUAAUUUGUCCAUUUUUGCGCUAUUUUCUUUCGAUAUCCAUGACUCCGUUUAUUUCCUACACAUAAAUAAAAAGUGGAUUAAUUAUAUAAUAAUUGACAUGGGGAUUGGUUUAUUCCUAGUGUUUUAGAUAUAAUUAUACGCAUAUAAAUGUGUAUAAUCAUUAGGGCUGAAGAAUGGGGCUCAAGAUCGGCGUCGGCAACACAAUCGAGAUUAGUUUCUACACCACUUGCUCUUACAAGUAAUUCUCUAAUUUGUAAAAGGCUAAGCUUGUGUUUAUAAUUCAAAUUGAUUAUUGCACAGAUGAAACCACUCAGAUUCUGGUUGAGUUCUUGGAGGUGGCAAUCGCAUCAAUCGUUUUCCUCAAAGAUGAGUAGUGGCUGUGCUUGGGGAGUAGUCAACCACCUCAAAGCUGUUAGCUUCAUGCUGCUAUUGAAAAAGUGGUGCAGGUUUCAAACGAAACAGAUGUAUUGAUUUAGUUGGUUCAGCAUGAAGCUCAGGUUGGUUGGAGAUGUGACUGCUAUUGUAGUGACAGCUUACUAUGUAAGUCCCAUCUUUUAACUUCAUUGAUUUAUGUAAGUAAAUCAUACUCCUAUUCGGGUGGGUGUACAAUUAUGUACUUGCAAAUGUGCUACAAUUAUGUACUUUCUCCAAGUUCUUGUAAUCCUUUUGUGAUGAUUGAUAGCCGUAAUGCACUAUGUUAGCAGGAUCAUACAAAUGUUUAGCUAAUUACUGAAAAAUGACAUGACCAUCUUGUCAUCUAUUUACUUAUUGCUUAUUGAAGUAAACAUUCACUACAUUUUCAUAAUAUUGCGCUCUCUUCGUGUGAGAAAAAAGGAUGUAUAAUUAACUGCAUUCUCAACAUUUGGCCUUUCAUUAUAUCUUACAAUAUCCUUAUCACUUAAAUUAUCUGAAGAUGGUUUGAUUGUGGUUAGAUGUGUGCUGUUUUGAAAACCUAUCUGUCCACUAAAUACUACUUUUUACUGAAUUGGAUUGGUUGAGUCACCGAAUGAGAACGUGAAGAAGGUUCAGUAUGCUGUUAGAGGCGAGUUGUAUCUUCAAGCUUCUGAGCUUCAGAAGGAAGGAAAGAAGGUAUAGAGACCAGUUUUGUUUGGUUCUUUUGUUUGGUAAUUUAGUUGUUCUUGCUUGCACCCUUGGAAAAUGGGUCUGCAAUGCUAUUUUGCUUCGUCUUUCUUUGACUUUCUUGAUCAAUUUCAGAAAGCAUUUAUAUCCCUUCACCGAGAAGUCCAUUAAGCUUCUGAUGGAUAAGAAGCAGAAGGCAGAGAAGUCUUUGAAAAUUGAAAAGGAGAUGACACAAUCCCAGGCUAAUGAAUUGGCCUCCCUUAGGCAUGCAACUCUAAGUUCAAUUCUAGUUAAUCAUCUUUUGCUGUAGCAUAUACAGCAGGCUCUUAGACAUAUUCACAUUAAUUGCAGAUCUGCCUUAAGUGAAAAGUGCACUACUUUGUGCCUAGCAUGAUAUGCUUGAGUGGUUCCGUGACGCAUAUAUGAGCUUGAUAUAAUUGAUGAUUCAGUUUACACCUAUACUUCAUUAUUCUAUUAGAAUUUAGAGAAGCUUAGGUGCGUGCAUACAUUUAUAUAAAUAUAUAUAUGUGUGUGUGUGUGUGUGUGUGUGUGUGUGUGUGUGUAUCGUUGCUACAAAUUCCCAAAUCAAUGUGCAAUUCCUUUUUAAUUAUAUUUAUAUAUAUAUAUAUAUAUUGUAGAUCUUGAUCAUACAUUAUGCUUCAAUUACAUAUGCGUUUAAAGCUUUUCAAUUGCAGAUGGUUUUAGUUUUGGUGGCAAGGUAAGUAACACAUCAGGUUUGUCUCUCUCCUUAAGUUGUGACUGUCUUAGCAUACUGGAAAUCAUGCCAUCAUUGUGCAAAAUUUUGUUGUGGUCUUUCACUAAAAGUAUGGCAUUUGAGUAGUGAAAUGUUAAGUUUACAUUGACUGUGAUAUUCAGUCAUCUGGCAUGUCAUUUAGUUUGAUUAACAGAGAAUUAGACACCACUAAUUAGAAGCAUGCAUGUUACUGAAAAAGUGAUAAUUAUGGAUUUUCACAGCCUAGCUAUGUUUGAACCUAUAUGAUAUCAACAAAAAUUGUUAUACCCUUGUGUACACAGGGCUUUUGUCAAUAAACUAGCUACCCAAGAUUUCCAUACUUGAACAUGCAGUUUGAUUCAAAUAUCACAUUAUAUACAUCAGAGCAUCAAGCCUUGCCGACUGAGCUUAUUUGCUACUUUUCAGCUUCCUACUAACAAGCAUGGAAGGAAUGGAAAGGUUAUUUACAUUGAUGCUGACCCAGCGUCAAAGGCAGCUGCUGCAACUGUUCUUGGCAUCUAAGUUGGCUGUGGAUUCAGACCUAAGAUUUCAUGUAGGAGAUGAUUCUAGAGCUAAUGUUGCAUAAGGUAAUGAACUUGUCCAUCAGAAUCCUCAAGCACAAGAUGGAAAUUGGAUUGCUCGUAUUGCAGCAUUACUUGUGGGUGAGGAUUGAACACAAUCUUGAAUAGCUUAUGAAAUUGGUAGGCAUAGUUCAAUGACAUGUUUAAAUGCUUAUAAAGUUGUAUAUGGUGAAUCGAUUGGAGUUUGUUUGAUGUAUCAAAGCUACUUUUAGCAUUAAUACAAAAUUAUUGUUCAUUGAUAA